GAUGGAAAGCCAGAAGACCAUGGGGCCUGGCAAUCAUCUGUCUGCAACAAUUAAAGUGUGUGGAUAGGUCCGGCUGCAGUAGCGUUAAGUGCUAGAGAGAUGGCAUUUGGCAGAGCCGGAGAGCUUUCCUUGCCACACCCAUGCGAGGUUAUUACAAGGUACUGAACAAGAUCUUAUUACAAGAUACUGUUCCCUGUGCUAUACAGCGAAACCAAAGCAAAAGGCAGACAAA